rnacentral:rRNA from 1 species
AGUGGCGAACGGGUGAGGAACGCGUGGACAACCUACCCCGGCGUGGGGGAUACCCGCCAGAAAUGGCGGCUAAUACCGCGUACGGUUCUCUGGCGACGGGCUGGGGAAAGAAAGCAGUAAUGCGCGCUGGGAGGGGUCUGCGGCCGAUUAGCUAGUUGGCGGGGUAACGGCCCACCAAGGCGAUGAUCGGUAGCUGGUCUGAGAGGAUGAUCAGCCACACGGGGACUGAGACACGGCCCCG